UAGCACAGAGAGCUUGCUCUCGGGUGACGAGCGGCGGACGGGUGAGUAAUGUCUGGGAAACUGCCUGAUGGAGGGGGAUAACUACUGGAAACGGUAGCUAAUACCGCAUAACGUCGCAAGACCAAAGUGGGGGACCUUCGGGCCUCAUGCCAUCAGAUGUGCCCAGAUGGGAUUAGCUAGUAGGUGGGGUAACGGCUCACCUAGGCGACGAUCCCUAGCUGGUCUGAGAGGAUGACCAGCCACACUGGAACUGAGACACGGUCCAGACUCCUACGGGAGGCAGCAGUGGGGAAUAUUGCACAAUGGGCGCAAGCCUGAUGCAGCCAUGCCGCGUGUGUGAAGAAGGCCUUCGGGUUGUAAAGCACUUUCAGCGGGGAGGAAGGCGGUGAGGUUAAUAACCUUGUCGAUUGACGUUACCCGCAGAAGAAGCACCGGCUAACUCCGUGCCAGCAGCCGCGGUAAUACGGAGGGUGCAAGCGUUAAUCGGAAUUACUGGGCGUAAAGCGCACGCAGGCGGUCUGUCAAGUCGGAUGUGAAAUCCCCGGGCUCAACCUGGGAACUGCAUUCGAAACUGGCAGGCUAGAGUCUUGUAGAGGGGGGUAGAAUUCCAGGUGUAGCGGUGAAAUGCGUAGAGAUCUGGAGGAAUACCGGUGGCGAAGGCGGCCCCCUGGACAAAGACUGACGCUCAGGUGCGAAAGCGUGGGGAGCAAACAGGAUUAGAUACCCUGGUAGUCCACGCCGUAAACGAUGUCGAUUUGGAGGUUGUGCCCUUGAGGCGUGGCUUCCGGAGCUAACGCGUUAAAUCGACCGCCUGGGGAGUACGGCCGCAAGGUUAAAACUCAAAUGAAUUGACGGGGGCCCGCACAAGCGGUGGAGCAUGUGGUUUAAUUCGAUGCAACGCGAAGAACCUUACCUGGUCUUGACAUCCACAGAACUUUCCAGAGAUGGAUUGGUGCCUUCGGGAACUGUGAGACAGGUGCUGCAUGGCUGUCGUCAGCUCGUGUUGUGAAAUGUUGGGUUAAGUCCCGCAACGAGCGCAACCCUUAUCCUUUGUUGCCAGCGGUUCGGCCGGGAACUCAAAGGAGACUGCCAGUGAUAAACUGGAGGAAGGUGGGGAUGACGUCAAGUCAUCAUGGCCCUUACGACCAGGGCUACACACGUGCUACAAUGGCAUAUACAAAGAGAAGCGACCUCGCGAGAGCAAGCGGACCUCAUAAAGUAUGUCGUAGUCCGGAUUGGAGUCUGCAACUCGACUCCAUGAAGUCGGAAUCGCUAGUAAUCGUAGAUCAGAAUGCUACGGUGAAUACGUUCCCGGGCCUUGUACACACCGCCCGUCACACCAUGGGAGUGGGUUGCAAAAGAUGUAGUUAGCUUAACCCUCGGGA
rnacentral:rRNA from 1 species